UAACAAGGAUUCCCCUAGUAACUGCGAGUGAACCGGGAUGAGCUCAAAUUUAAAAUCUGGCGGUUCUGCCGUCCGAGUUGUAAUCUGGAGAAGCGUUUUCCGCGUCGGACCGUGUACAAGUCUCUUGGAAUAGUGCGUCAUAGAGGGUGAGAAUCCCGUCCAUGACACGGACUCCCGAUGCUAUGUGAUACGCUCUCAAAGAGUCGAGUUGUUUGGGAAUGCAGCUCAAAAUGGGUGGUAAAUUCCAUCUAAAGCUAAAUAUUGGCGAGAGACCGAUAGCGAACAAGUACCGUGAGGGAAAGAUGAAAAGCACUUUGGAAAGAGAGUUAAACAGUACGUGAAAUUGUUGAAAGGGAAACGCUUGAAGUCAGUCGCGUCGUACGGAGCUCAGCCUUGCUUCUGCUUGGUGGAUUCUUCUCGGGUCGAACGGGUCACGCAAUUUCGGCCGGUGGAGAAGGGCUCAAGGAAUGUGGCGUCGUUUCGGCGACGUGUUAUAGCCUUGGGUCGUAUGCAUCGACUGGGAUUGAGGACCGCAGCACGCCCUUGUGGCCCGGGGGUUCGCCCUACGUUUCGUGCUUAGGAUGUUGGCAAAAUGGCUUUAAGCGACCCGUCUUGAAACACGGACCAAGGAGUCUAACAUGCCUGCGAGUGUUCGGGUGGAAAACCCUUCCCGUAAUGAAAGUGAAAGUUGGGAUCCCUCGCAAGGGGGUGCACCGACGCCCGGCCCUGAAGUUCUCUGACGGUGCUGCGGUAGAGCAUGUAUGUUGGGACCCGAAAGAUGGUGAACUAUGCCUGAAUAGGGUGAAGCCAGAGGAAACUCUGGUGGAGGCUCGUAGCGAUUCUGACGUGCAAAUCGAUCGUCAAAUUUGGG
rnacentral:rRNA from 1 species